GCGAGUGAAGAGGGAAAAGCUCAAAUUUAAAAUCUGGCAGUCUUUUGGCUGUCCGAGUUGUAAAUUAGAGAAGUGUUGCCCGUGUUGGACCGUGUACAAGUCUCCUGGAAUGGAGCGUCAUAGAGGGUGAGAAUCCCGUCUUUGACACGGACUACCAAUGCAUUGUGGUACACUCUCGAAGAGUCGUGUUGUUUGGGAAUGCAGCACUAAAUGGGUGGUAAAUUCCAUCUAAAGCUAAAUAUUGGCGAGAGACCGAUAGCAAACAAGUACCGUGAGGGAAAGAUGAAAAGAACUUUGGAAAGAGAGUUAAACAGUACGUGAAAUUGUUGAAAGGGAAACGCUUAAAGUCCAGUCGCGUUAGUUGGAAAUCAGUCUUGCUUUUGCUUGAUGUACUUUCUAAUUGACGGGUCAACAUCAGUUUUGACCGUUGGAUAAAGGUUGAAGGAAUGUGGCAUCUUCGGAUGUGUUAUAGCCUUCAGUUGUAUACAACGGUUGGGACUGAGGAACUCAGCACGCCGUAAGGCAGGGUCUUGUACCACUUUCGUGCUUAGGAUGUUGGCAUAAUGGCUUUAAUCGACCCGUCUUGAAACACGGACCAAGGAGUCUAACAUGCUCGCGAGUAUUUGGGUGGAAAACCCAAGUGCGCAAUGAAAGUGAAAGUUGAGAACUCGUUAGAGUGCAUCGACGCCCAUGCCAGAUGUUUUACUGACGGACAUGCGGUAGAGCGAGUACG
rnacentral:rRNA from 1 species